rnacentral:rRNA from 1 species
GACGAACGCUGGCGGCGUGCUUAACACAUGCAAGUCGAACGGAAAGACCCUGCUUUUGUGGGGUGCUCGAGUGGCGAACGGGUGAGUAACACGUGAGUAACCUGCCCUUGACUUUGGGAUAACUUCAGGAAACUGGCGCUAAUACCGGAUAGGAGCUCCUGCUGCAUGGUGGGGGUUGGAAAGUUUCGGCGGUUGGGGAUGGACUCGCGGCUUAUCAGCUUGUUGGUGGGGUAGUGGCUUACCAAGGCUUUGACGGGUAGCCGGCCUGAGAGGGUGACCGGCCACAUUGGGACUGAGAUACGGCCCAGACUCCUACGGGAGGCAGCAGUGGGGAAUAUUGCACAAUGGGCGGAAGCCUGAUGCAGCAACGCCGCGUGCGGGAUGACGGCCUUCGGGUUGUAAACCGCUUUCGCCUGUGACGAAGCGUGAGUGACGGUAAUGGGUAAAGAAGCACCGGCUAACUACGUG